rnacentral:rRNA from 1 species
CCUACGGGAGGCAGCAGUAGGGAAUCUUCCACAAUGGGCGAAAGCCUGAUGGAGCAACGCCGCGUGGGUGAAGAAGGUCUUCGGAUCGUAAAACCCUGUUGUUAGAGAAGAAAGUGCGUGAGAGUAACUGUUCACGUUUCGACGGUAUCUAACCAGAAAGCCACGGCUAACUACGUGCCAGCAGCCGCGGUAAUACGUAGGUGGCAAGCGUUAUCCGGAUUUAUUUGGCGUAAAGGGCACGCAGGCGGUCUUUUAAGUCUGAUGUGAAAGCCUUCGGCUUAACCGGAGUAGUGCAUUGGAAACUGGGAGACUUGAGUGCAGAAGAGGAGAGUGGAACUCCAUGUGUAGCGGUGAAAUGCGUAGAUAUAUGGAAGAACACCAGUGGCGAAAGCGGCUCUCUGGUCUGUAACUGACGCUGAGGUUCGAAAGCGUGGGUAGCAAACAGGAUUAGAUACCCGUGUAGUC